GUGGGGAAUUUUGGACAAUGGGCGCAAGCCUGAUCCAGCAAUGCCGCGUGCAGGAAGAAGGCCUUCGGGUUGUAAACUGCUUUUGUACGGAACGAAACGGUCCGGGUUAAUACCCUGGGCUAAUGACGGUACCGUAAGAAUAAGCACCGGCUAACUACGUGCCAGCAGCCGCGGUAAUACGUAGGGUGCAAGCGUUAAUCGGAAUUACUGGGCGUAAAGCGUGCGCAAGCGGUUUUGUAAGACAGGCGUGAAAUCCCCGGGCUCAACCUGGGAAUUGCGCUUGUGACUGCAAGGCUGGAGUGCGGCAGAGGGGGAUGGAAUUCCGCGUGUAGCAGUGAAAUGCGUAGAUAUGCGGAGGAACACCGAUGGCGAAGGCAAUCCCCUGGGCCUGCACUGACGCUCAUGCACGAAAGCGUGGGGAGCAAACAGGAUUAGAUACCCUUGUAGUCC
rnacentral:rRNA from 1 species